rnacentral:rRNA from 1 species
AGAGUUUUGAUCCUGGCUCAGGAUGAACGCUGGCGGCGUGCCUAACACAUGCAAGUCGAGCGAUUCUCUUCGGAGAAGAGCGGCGGACGGGUGAGUAACGCGUGGGUAACCUGCCCUGUACACACGGAUAACAUACCGAAAGGUAUGCUAAUACGAGAUAAUAUGCUUUUAUCGCAUGGUAGAAGUAUCAAAGCUUUUGCGGUACAGGAUGGACCCGCGUCUGAUUAGCUAGUUGGUAAGGUAACGGCUUACCAAGGCGACGAUCAGUAGCCGACCUGAGAGGGUGAUCGGCCACAUUGGAACUGAGACACGGUCCAAACUCCUACGGGAGGCAGCAGUGGGGAAUAUUGCACAAUGGGCGAAAGCCUGAUGCAGCAACGCCGCGUGAGCGAUGAAGGCCUUCGGGUCGUAAAGCUCUGUCCUCAAGGAAGAUAAUGACGGUACUUGAGGAGGAAGCCCCGGCUAACUACGUGCCAGCAGCCGCGGUAAUACGUAGGGGGCUAGCGUUAUCCGGAAUUACUGGGCGUAAAGGGUGCGUAGGUGGUUUCUUAAGUCAGAGGUGAAAGGCUACGGCUCAACCGUAGUAAGCCUUUGAAACUGGGAAACUUGAGUGCAGGAGAGGAGAGUGGAAUUCCUAGUGUAGCGGUGAAAUGCGUAGAUAUUAGGAGGAACACCAGUUGCGAAGGCGGCUCUCUGGACUGUAACUGACACUGAGGCACGAAAGCGUGGGGAGCAAACAGGAUUAGAUACCCUGGUAGUCCACGCCGUAAACGAUGAGUACUAGCUGUCGGAGGUUACCCCCUUCGGUGGCGCAGCUAACGCAUUAAGUACUCCGCCUGGGAAGUACGCUCGCAAGGUUGAAACUCAAAGGAAUUGACGGGGGCCCGCACAAGCAGUGGAGUAUGUGGUUUAAUUCGACGCAACGCGAAGAACCUUACCAAGUCUUGACAUCCUGUGACAGACGUAGAAAUACGUUCUUCCUUCGGGACACAGAGACAGGUGGUGCAUGGUUGUCGUCAGCUCGUGUCGUGAGAUGUUGGGUUAAGUCCCGCAACGAGCGCAACCCUUAUGGUCAGUUACUACGCAAGAGGACUCUGGCCAGACUGCCGUUGACAAAACGGAGGAAGGUGGGGAUGACGUCAAAUCAUCAUGCCCUUUAUGACUUGGGCUACACACGUACUACAAUGGCGUUAAACAAAGAGAAGCGAGACCGCGAGGUGGAGCAAAACUCAGAAACAACGUCCCAGUUCGGACUGCAGGCUGCAACUCGCCUGCACGAGGUCGGAAUUGCUAGUAAUCGUGGAUCAGCAUGCCACGGUGAAUACGUUCCCGGGCCUUGUACACACCGCCCGUCACACCAUGAGAGCCGGGGGGACCCGAAGUCGGUAGUCUAACCGCAAGGAGGACGCCGCCGAAGGUAAAACUGGUGAUUGGGGUGAAGUCGUAACAAGGUA